rnacentral:rRNA from 1 species
AGAGUUUGAUCAUGGCUCAGGAUGAACGCUGGCGGCGUACCUAACGCAUGCAAGUCGAACGGGGACUCUUGGUAGCAAUAUUGAGGGUUCUAGUGGCAAACGGGUGAGUAACACGUGGGUAAUCUACCCUGGAGUGGGGAAUAACGGACCGAAAGGUUCGCUAAUACCGCAUACGAUCGUGAGAUCAAAGGUUAUCGCAAGAUAAUCGCUCUGGGAGGAACCUGCGGCCGAUCAGGUAGUUGGUGAGGUAACGGCUCACCAAGCCUCCGACCGGUAGCUGAUCUGAGAGGAUGACCAGCCACACUGGCACUGAGACACGGGCCAGACUCCUACGGGAGGCAGCAGCGAGGAAUAUUGCGCAAUGGACGGAAGUCUGACGCAGUAACGCCGCGUGAGGGAGGAAGACCUUCGGGUUGUAAACCUCUUUUUGGUAGGACGAGUGAGGACGGUACUAUCAGAAUCAGUCUCGGCUAACUACGUGCCAGCAGCCGCGGUAAGACGUAGGAGGCGAGCGUUAUCCGGAUUCACUGGGCGUAAAGCGCAUGUAGGCGGCUGGAUAAGUCGUGUGUUAAAGCCCCCGGCUCAACUGGGGGAGGUCAUGCGAGACUAUUCGGCUUGAGGGCAGCAGAGGAGCGUGGAACUCCCGGUGUAGCGGUGGAAUGCGUAGAUAUCGGGAAGAACACCAGUGGCGAAGGCGACGCUCUGGGCUGCAACUGACGCUGAAAUGCGAAAGUGUGGGGAGCAAACGGGAUUAGAUACCCUAGUAGUCC